rnacentral:rRNA from 1 species
CCUACGGGCGGCAGCAUUAUCUGGACGAGAACAUAACCCGGGACGCCUUGCGAACCAGCUUUUUAGAAAGUCAGGGCUUAUUUGUACUUAGGUUUACCAACUGGGAAGUGGAUCACCAUUUUGCGCAGGUCUGCCAGCGAAUCAAAGAAGUGGUUGAUCAGAGGCUGGUUGAGUUAGCAAAGACAGAGGAUUAAUUAUUCAAAGUUUUCCCCUCUCACCCCCCGGCUUCGCCGUCCCCCUCUGAAGAGGGGGUAAAUUUAACCGUCCCAACCCUUUCUUGAAUAAAAAAACAUAUAUAAAAUAACCACCGAAUUAUAAGAAUUAGUCUUACUUAAAAAAAUAAUGAGAUUUGAUUACUUGAACCCUGCAGCUAUCAUAGAUACCCGUGUAGUC